AUUGAACGCUGGCGGCAUGCCUUACACAUGCAAGUCGAACGGCAGCACGGGUGCUUGCACCUGGUGGCGAGUGGCGAACGGGUGAGUAAUACAUCGGAACAUGUCCUGUAGUGGGGGAUAGCCCGGCGAAAGCCGGAUUAAUACCGCAUACGAUCCACGGAUGAAAGCGGGGGACCUUCGGGCCUCGCGCUAUAGGGUUGGCCGAUGGCUGAUUAGCUAGUUGGUGGGGUAAAGGCCUACCAAGGCGACGAUCAGUAGCUGGUCUGAGAGGACGACCAGCCACACUGGGACUGAGACACGGCCCAGACUCCUACGGGAGGCAGCAGUGGGGAAUUUUGGACAAUGGGCGAAAGCCUGAUCCAGCAAUGCCGCGUGUGUGAAGAAGGCCUUCGGGUUGUAAAGCACUUUUGUCAGGAAAGAAAUCCUUGACUCUAAUACAGUCGGGGGAUGACGGUACCGGAAGAAUAAGCACCGGCUAACUACGUG
rnacentral:rRNA from 1 species